rnacentral:siRNA from 1 species
GAUGGUCAAAGGAUAUUGCUUA